UCCUAGCCUACUUUCCAUUCUCAGUUAUGAACUCCUAACCAUUCUUUUUCAAAAUAUCCCUUGUUGUAACCAACUUGCUUUAUACAGUGGUUAUGCCUACCCCUCCCCUCCUCACUUCAAUAUACAAGUUAAAAAUUAUUAAGGGGCAGCAAAGGAAAAAAGGCCGCAAUAGCACAAGGUCACACUUGCAACUAGUUACACAUGGUCUUAUACCCAUCACAACUUCCUACAUCUUUGGCAUCUAGGUGCUAGAUAAACACCAGGCAUUUUAAGCGAGCAUGAGCCUCUUCCAUCAGAGGAUGGAACAGGCCGCAGAAGACGCCUGGGAGGCAAGAAAACUCGCAUCUGGUGAAGACGUGAUAAAUUGACCGCCGAGCGCUCUCCCGUCAACUCCAGUACUCCACCAGAACGAGAAGUGUACGCGAAGUCGACGGGGGAGCAUCAGCAGUCGACCUACCGCAGUGAAGACACCGCGGAGGCGGGAGAUGGGAGAAUGCUGUGACAUGCGAGAGGAAGUUGGGGUGGAGAGAGACCAGCGUGGCUACUUGGACUUUUUCGGCACUGUGGAAAUUCCCAAGCAGGGUGAGCGUCUCAGGGACAUUCCCCUGUCUGAAGGGCAUGCUGGAAAACCCGGACUGGCAUGUUGCUGCUGAAGAGGAUUGAGAGGCUCCACGGCAGGGCCUAGGUCAUUGUUUAUUGUUGUUGCAGGGUCAGAUUACACUUCAAUGGGAAAUAUUAGUUUAAAAGGUCA